rnacentral:rRNA from 1 species
GGGUUGUGAGGUUAAGCGACUAAGCGUACACGGUGGAUGCCCUGGCAGUCAGAGGCGAUGAAGGACGUGCUAAUCUGCGAUAAGCGUCGGUAAGGUGAUAUGAACCGUUAUAACCGGCGAUUUCCGAAUGGGGAAACCCAGUGUGUUUCGACACACUAUCAUUAACUGAAUCCAUAGGUUAAUGAGGCGAACCGGGGGAACUGAAACAUCUAAGUACCCCGAGGAAAAGAAAUCAACCGAGAUUCCCCCAGUAGCGGCGAGCGAACGGGGAGCAGCCCAGAGCCUGAAUCAGUGUGUGUGUUAGUGGAAGCGUCUGGAAAGGCGCGCGAUACAGGGUGACAGCCCCGUACACAAAAAUGCACAUGCUGUGAGCUCGAUGAGUAGGGCGGGACACGUGGUAUCCUGUCUGAAUAUGGGGGGACCAUCCUCCAAGGCUAAAUACUCCUGACUGACCGAUAGUGAACCAGUACCGUGAGGGAAAGGCGAAAAGAACCCCGGCGAGGGGAGUGAAAAAGAACCUGAAACCGUGUACGUACAAGCAGUGGGAGCACGCUUAGGCGUGUGACUGCGUACCUUUUGUAUAAUGGGUCAGCGACUUAUAUUCUGUAGCAAGGUUAACCGAAUAGGGGAGCCGAAGGGAAACCGAGUCUUAACUGGGCGUUAAGUUGCAGGGUAUAGACCCGAAACCCGGUGAUCUAGCCAUGGGCAGGUUGAAGGUUGGGUAACACUAACUGGAGGACCGAACCGACUAAUGUUGAAAAAUUAGCGGAUGACUUGUGGCUGGGGGUGAAAGGCCAAUCAAACCGGGAGAUAGCUGGUUCUCCCCGAAAGCUAUUUAGGUAGCGCCUCGUGAAUUCAUCUCCGGGGGUAGAGCACUGUUUCGGCAAGGGGGUCAUCCCGACUUACCAACCCGAUGCAAACUGCGAAUACCGGAGAAUGUUAUCACGGGAGACACACGGCGGGUGCUAACGUCCGUCGUGAAGAGGGAAACAACCCAGACCGCCAGCUAAGGUCCCAAAGUCAUGGUUAAGUGGGAAACGAUGUGGGAAGGCCCAGACAGCCAGGAUGUUGGCUUAGAAGCAGCCAUCAUUUAAAGAAAGCGUAAUAGCUCACUGGUCGAGUCGGCCUGCGCGGAAGAUGUAACGGGGCUAAACCAUGCACCGAAGCUGCGGCAGCGACGCUGAUGCGUUGUUGGGUAGGGGAGCGUUCUGUAAGCCUGCGAAGGUGUGCUGUGAGGCAUGCUGGAGGUAUCAGAAGUGCGAAUGCUGACAUAAGUAACGAUAAAGCGGGUGAAAAGCCCGCUCGCCGGAAGACCAAGGGUUCCUGUCCAACGUUAAUCGGGGCAGGGUGAGUCGACCCCUAAGGCGAGGCCGAAAGGCGUAGUCGAUGGGAAACAGGUUAAUAUUCCUGUACUUGGUGUUACUGCGAAGGGGGGACGGAGAAGGCUAUGUUGGCCGGGCGACGGUUGUCCCGGUUUAAGCGUGUAGGCUGGUUUUCCAGGCAAAUCCGGAAAAUCAAGGCUGAGGCGUGAUGACGAGGCACUACGGUGCUGAAGCAACAAAUGCCCUGCUUCCAGGAAAAGCCUCUAAGCAUCAGGUAACAUCAAAUCGUACCCCAAACCGACACAGGUGGUCAGGUAGAGAAUACCAAGGCGCUUGAGAGAACUCGGGUGAAGGAACUAGGCAAAAUGGUGCCGUAACUUCGGGAGAAGGCACGCUGAUAUGUAGGUGAAGUCCCUCGCGGAUGGAGCUGAAAUCAGUCGAAGAUACCAGCUGGCUGCAACUGUUUAUUAAAAACACAGCACUGUGCAAACACGAAAGUGGACGUAUACGGUGUGACGCCUGCCCGGUGCCGGAAGGUUAAUUGAUGGGGUUAGCGCAAGCGAAGCUCUUGAUCGAAGCCCCGGUAAACGGCGGCCGUAACUAUAACGGUCCUAAGGUAGCGAAAUUCCUUGUCGGGUAAGUUCCGACCUGCACGAAUGGCGUAAUGAUGGCCAGGCUGUCUCCACCCGAGACUCAGUGAAAUUGAACUCGCUGUGAAGAUGCAGUGUACCCGCGGCAAGACGGAAAGACCCCGUGAACCUUUACUAUAGCUUGACACUGAACAUUGAGCCUUGAUGUGUAGGAUAGGUGGGAGGCUUUGAAGUGUGGACGCCAGUCUGCAUGGAGCCGACCUUGAAAUACCACCCUUUAAUGUUUGAUGUUCUAACGUUGACCCGUGAUCCGGGUUGCGGACAGUGUCUGGUGGGUAGUUUGACUGGGGCGGUCUCCUCCUAAAGAGUAACGGAGGAGCACGAAGGUUGGCUAAUCCUGGUCGGACAUCAGGAGGUUAGUGCAAUGGCAUAAGCCAGCUUGACUGCGAGCGUGACGGCGCGAGCAGGUGCGAAAGCAGGUCAUAGUGAUCCGGUGGUUCUGAAUGGAAGGGCCAUCGCUCAACGGAUAAAAGGUACUCCGGGGAUAACAGGCUGAUACCGCCCAAGAGUUCAUAUCGACGGCGGUGUUUGGCACCUCGAUGUCGGCUCAUCACAUCCUGGGGCUGAAGUAGGUCCCAAGGGUAUGGCUGUUCGCCAUUUAAAGUGGUACGCGAGCUGGGUUUAGAACGUCGUGAGACAGUUCGGUCCCUAUCUGCCGUGGGCGCUGGAGAACUGAGGGGGGCUGCUCCUAGUACGAGAGGACCGGAGUGGACGCAUCACUGGUGUUCGGGUUGUCAUGCCAAUGGCACUGCCCGGUAGCUAAAUGCGGAAGAGAUAAGUGCUGAAAGCAUCUAAGCACGAAACUUGCCCCGAGAUGAGUUCUCCCUGACCCUUUAAGGGUCCUGAAGGAACGUUGAAGACGACGACGUUGAUAGGCCGGGUGUGUAAGCGCAGCGAUGCGUUGAGCUAACCGGUACUAAUGAACCGUGAGGCUUAACCUUACAACGCCGAAG